rnacentral:rRNA from 1 species
GACGAACGCUGGCGGCGCGCUUAACACAUGCAAGUCGAACGGGGUUGUGUCUUCGGACACAGCCUAGUGGCGAACGGGUGCGUAACACGUGAGCAACCUGCCUUGUGGUGGGGGAUAACCCGAGGAAACUCGGGCUAAUACCGCAUGAGAUCGCGUGGCCGAGUGGCCGUGCGAGGAAAGUCCCUGCAAGGGGAUGCCAUGAGAGGGGCUCGCGGCGUAUCAGCUAGCUGGUGGGGUAACGGCCUACCAGGGCGACGACGCGUAGCCGAUCUGAGAGGAUGAUCGGCCAGAUUGGGACUGAGAUACGGCCCAGACUCCUACGGGAGGCAGCAGUGGGGAAUCUUGCGCAAUGGACGAAAGUCUGACGGAGCAACGCCGCGUGAGUGACGAAGGCUUUCGGGUCGUAAAACUCUGUUGUUAGGGAAGAACAAGUACAAGAGUAACUGCUUGUACCUUGACGGUACCUAACCAGAAAGCCACGGCUAACUACGUGCCAGCCGCCGCGGUAAAAC